rnacentral:rRNA from 1 species
GACGAACGCUGGCGGCGUGCUUAACACAUGCAAGUCGAACGGUGAAGCGCCUUCCUUUUUGGUGGGUGUGGAUGAGUGGCGAACGGGUGAGUAACACGUGAGUAACCUGCCCCCUUCUUCUGGAUAACCGCAUGAAAGUGUGGCUAAUACGGGAUAUUCUGGGUCUGUCGCAUGAUGGGUCUGGGAAAGAUAUUGUUUCGGUGGGGGAUGGGCUCGCGGCCUAUCAGCUUGUUGGUGGGGUGAUGGCCUACCAAGGCGGUGACGGGUAGCCGGCCUGAGAGGGUGGACGCUCGAACUGGGACUGAGACACGGCCCAGACUACUACGGGAGGCAGCAGUGGGGAAUAGUGCACAAUGGGCGCAAGGCUGAUGCAGCGACGCCGCGUGAGGGAUGGAGGCCUUCGGGUUGUGAACCUCUUUCGCCAGUGAAGCAGGCCUGCCUCGUUUGUGGGUGGGUUGACGGUAGCUGGAUAAGAAGCGCCGGCUAACUACGU